rfam:Trichobilharzia regenti genome assembly, scaffold: TRE_scaffold0029812
GUACUGAUGAAGAGUCCCAUACUAGAACGAAACAACUGUUCAGUAC